CCUCCUCCAUUAUCUUAUUUCCACUUAAUCACUUAACUUUAUUUACAAAAAUGAUUAUCUAGAGACACGUGAAAUGGGGCACCUGAGGUCUCACCCCAUCACUAAAAACUGAGUUCCUUCUAACACAUAGCCCAUCCAGAUUGCCGCUAUUAAAGCAUCGAGUCAUGGCAUCCAGAAGCCCUACACCAUGAUGCCCACUC
rnacentral:lncRNA from 1 species